AUUCUGCCCAAGCGGCGAAGGAUGAGAAGCUUCGACCAAGGUUCGACUUGAGCGCCAGCGAGAGAGCGUUGCCGCAGGCAACGACCCGAAGGGCGAAGCGCGCAGCGCUGAGUAAUCCUUCCCCCCACCACCA
rnacentral:sRNA from 1 species